UGAGUAACCUGCCCUUAACUCUGGGAUAAGCCCGGGAAAACUGGGUCUAGUACCGGAUAUGACUCCUCAUCGCAUGGUGGGGGGUGGAAAGCUUUUGUGGUUUGGAUGGACUCGCGGCCUACCAGCUUGUUGGUGAGGUAAUGGCUCACCAAGGCGACGACGGGUAGCCGGCCUGAGAGGGUGACCGGCCACACUGGGACUGAGACACGGCCCAGACUCCUACGGGAGCAG
rnacentral:rRNA from 1 species